GGCCCCGUAGCUCAGCUGGAUAGAGCAGCCGCCUUCUAAGCGGCAGGUCCCUGGUUCGAGCCCAGGCGGGGUCGCCA
rnacentral:tRNA from 2 species